UGAUAUCGUCAGGUCCGGGAGCCUUCUU
rnacentral:piRNA from 1 species